AUUGAACGCUGGCGGCAUGCUUUACACAUGCAAGUCGAACGGUAACAGGCCGCAAGGUGCUGACGAGUGGCGAACGGGUGAGUAAUGCAUCGGAACGUGCCCAGUCGUGGGGGAUAACGCAGCGAAAGCUGCGCUAAUACCGCAUACGAUCUAUGGAUGAAAGCGGGGGACCGUAAGGCCUCGCGCGAUUGGAGCGGCCGAUGUCAGAUUAGGUAGUUGGUGGGGUAAAGGCCUACCAAGCCGACGAUCUGUAGCUGGUCUGAGAGGACGACCAGCCACACUGGGACUGAGACACGGCCCAGACUCCUACGGGAGGCAGCAGUGGGGAAUUUUGGACAAUGGGCGCAAGCCUGAUCCAGCAAUGCCGCGUGCAGGAAGAAGGCCUUCGGGUUGUAAACUGCUUUUGUACGGAACGAAACGGUCCUGGUUAAUACCUGGGGCUAAUGACGGUACCGUAAGAAUAAGCACCGGCUAACUACGUGCCAGCAGCCGCGGUAA
rnacentral:rRNA from 1 species